rnacentral:sRNA from 1 species
GCUGGGCAUGGUGGUGAAUGCCUGUAAUCCCAGCAGGUUGGGAGGCUGAGGCAGGAGGAUUGUGAGUUCAAAGCCAGCCUCAGCGAGGCCCUAAGGGGAAAAUGCAACUGUGAAUUAACUCAGCAAGACCCUGUCUCUA